rnacentral:rRNA from 1 species
AGCUAUAUGUUUUUAUAUUUAGUUUUUUCUGCCAUGUGAUUAUUUAACGGCCGCAGUACUUUGACUGUGCUAAGGUAGCAUAAUCAAUUGACUUUUAAUUGAAGUCUGGAAUGAAUGGAGAAUUGAGGAAAUUCUGUCUUUUAGAUAAUUUUUUUAAAUUAAUUUUAAGGUGAAAAUACCUUAAUAUUUAAAAAAGACGAGAAGACCCUUAGAGUUUUUUUGUUGGGGUGACAUUUAAGCAAACCUUAUAUUCUGAAAAAUUAAACUACCUUAGGGAUAACAGCAUAAUUUUUAAAAAAGAUUGUGACCUCGAUGUUGGACUAGGAAAUUUAUAAUUAGAAAUUAAAAUAAAUAGUUCUGUUCGAACUUAUCCUCCU